rnacentral:tRNA from 1 species
GGAUUGUAGCUCAGUGGUAGAAUGCUUGCUUAGCAUGUGUGAGGCACUGGGUUCAAUCCUCAGCACCG